rnacentral:piRNA from 1 species
CACCGUCAGCACCCAAAGCUGAAAUU